UGUAUGCAGGCAUGACUAAGUCGCUUUGGAUAAAAGUGACUGCUAAAUGGCAUAUA
rfam:Salmo salar isolate Sally breed double haploid chromosome ssa25, whole genome shotgun sequence.